UUUUUCUUAAUUUUUUUUUAAUUUUCUUUUGGAUUAUGAUAAUUGGGUUUACUGUUUCAGAACUUCCCAUGACUGAUGAAACAGUGGAAGUUGUCUUUGUACUUUUGAAUAUUAUUUUUCAUUGGUUGCUUGUGGGGCUUGCAGUGUCAUACUAAAUCCUCAACUGAACCUCAGUUUUUUACUAGUUAUUAUUUUUCCAAAAAAAAUUAUGAUUUUUGGGUACCAUCAUGUUGGGUGUGGCCUUACUGCUUAGACUGUUCAUAAUUAGUAAAACUGUAACAAUUAUAGUAUUACGAAUUACUUUCAUAACUCCCUUGGAUAUGCAGUUAUAGUUGUGAUUGAAAUAUGAAAGUUAUUAUUUAUUUUCAGAUGAUUUAUUGGUAAAAUGGAGUUUCCUUGUUUUCCCUUUUCUGGUUGUAUUUUGACUUUUCAAUUUGGAGCUCUUAGUGGUUUGCCUUCAAGGGUGUGAUUAAUAAAACAGUAUAAAAUGUUAUAUGUGAUGAAUUUCAUGCUAUAUUUUGUUCUUUGGUAUCGUUUUUAAAGUUCUAUUGAUGAUUGUUUUCAACAAGAUAGGUGGAGUAUUUAAUAAUUUUUUAACCGGUUAGUAGCUGAACGAAUGUUGAUAAUCUUUGUUUGGUCAGUUGGAUAUCCAGUUAUUGAUGAAAUUUAAUUGUAUAAUAAUAAUAAUAAUAAUCAUGAUACAACAUUAUCGUUGGUGUACAUCCAGUGGAAACAGUUGGUGUACAUUCAAUGGAAAUGUUUUUGUUGUCAGAAUGAGAAACUGUGGUGUAUGAGCUUUAGAGGAGCCGUAAAAAUUUACCAUAAAAAUAAAAGGAAUUGUUUGAAGAGAAGUUGGUAAAGAUAUG
rnacentral:misc_RNA from 1 species